UACGUAGGCAGCAAGCGUUGUUCGGAGUUACUGGGCGUAAAGGGUGUGUAGGCGGUUCUUUAAGUUUGGUGUGAAAUCUCCCGGCUCAACUGGGAGGGUGCGCCGAAUACUGAGGGACUAGAGUACGGGAGAGGAAAGUGGAAUUCCUGGUGUAGCGGUGAAAUGCGUAGAUAUCAGGAGGAACACCGGUGGUGUAGACGGCUUUCUGGACCGUAACUGACGCUGAAACACGAAAGCGUGGGUAGCAAACAGG
rnacentral:rRNA from 1 species